GGAGGAGAGGUGAACCUUGAGUGUGUAAUCCAGGCGGGUUAUGGUGACUUCCAGGUAGGUACAUCCAUCAGUGGUUCAGCGAUUCCAAGUAUCCUGAAGAUGAAACAAACUUGAGUCCAAACACCAAAAUCCAAGCACAAAAAACCAGAAAAAUCCAAAACUGCGACCACACGAAUGUCUGAGAAUAGACAAAGCAAAACCUAGAACUGAGUGGCAAGAUUCUACCGUGAGUAGUUAAUCAUCCAGCGAUGUGAAGUGGUUCCCUCUCCUCUUAAAUAGAGCUCUGCUGCGGUUGAUUAGAGGAUCUGCAGCUGCCGCUGAUCGGUAAUGCCCCGCAGCUGGUGAGUGCCCUCUCCUGGAAUGACAGUCUUACAAAGAUGUUGUGGAGAAGAGGGAGUACUCACCCCGUCACACAACAAGGAGCAGCACCUCUGGGCGUCUGUGCCAUUUAAAGCCUUUGUACUAUCGCUUUCAUCCAUUUUGCUGUGUUUUGUAGUGGAGCUAAACACUUCCUGCCCCCCAUUUGAGUGUAAUGUGAAGUGAUGUCACAGACUGAGCGGAGCUGACCAUAGAGUAAAAAGACCCAAUGAUUAGUGGUUUUCGGUCUGACUCAUCUGUACUUGAAGCCUCUGUGGGAGCCUAAAGUCUGUCUUUGUACAGGUUUAGCAGCUGAAGAGCCCUGGUACACACUCGACCCCCUGGUGAUAGUAGCCAUUUGCCUGGGAAUACCCAUGAUCCUCCUUGCUGUGCUGUUGAUGGUGCGCCAUCAGAGGUUGACUAGUAUCCUGUUUCCUCCAAUCCCUCGUCCUCCACCGCAGUACAAAUAUUUUCUAGAGAAAGGCGACCCUGUCUGUUUCUACCCUUCUGUGCCAGAAAAACACGAGGAAGAGAUCACUGAGGUGGAGGAUGCAGAGCAAAACCCUGAAAGCAACACAGAAUAAAGACGUGCAUGCUCAUUUUUACUCCACAAGUCGGUACACACAGGUUGGACGCAUGCAUUGAGCAUUUACAAAUGUUCUACCAAAAUUCAAAGAGCUUUAGAAAUCUUUUGCAUUAAGACUUUCUGUUGUUUUUAGGAAUAAAGACGUUUUGUCUUACAUUCAUUUAGUUUUUCAUGCAUUUCAUCAAACUGCGACUUUUAUUUACUAUUUUCUGGCAGGAUUUGAACAAGAGGCGUUUGAGACUUACACCAAUUUCUUCACAGUUGUACUGAAAUCUUAAACGUUUCUACAAAAUAAGUUUAUUUUUUACAGUUUAUAAUAAAGUCUGGUUAUGAACUGUGAUCUGCUCAUUUUGGAGUCAUUUUUCUACUUUUACCUGCUGUUUGUAGAGGGUUGGGAAACACUAAAUCAGAUAUUCAUGCACAAGAAAACUUAGUUAGCCUAGUCUAGUCUAGUUAGCCAUCGUCUUCGUCACUGCCGCGGCUCCGCCCUCUCGGUCCUCCAGGCAACGCCUACUAAUGUUGCAGUUUUUAAAAUUGAUACGUGGGUGGAGUAAGACUCUGAGGGGGGCAUUACCACUACUUUAAGGUAAAAAAGACAAGAAGUUUUGACUUUUAAUAGUGGAACUUAAAGAGCAAGUCACCCCCAAAUAAACUUUUUUUUGCUGAUAAACUAAAUAAACGAGUGUCUAAUCGUGCUGCAGACACGUGUCGUCAAUAAUUUGGCACUUCAGUGCAUCUUAGUUAAAAUUUAAAUAUUCUGCCUAAAACUGUCAGUGUUGUGCCGUUGUCAGGUAAAAACUCUGCACUGUAUUCUAAUUUAAAUCUGCCACCACUAUUGGCUAAGAGGUAUGCUAUGAUGUAAACUGGUACAUUAUGAUGUCACAAUGCUGUCGUGAGCCUGUGUGUGUGUAUUUGUUAGCAGCUCCGCCCCCUCGGUCUGCCAGGCAACAGCAUUUGUUGCAUUUUUCAAACAUGAAGUGGGAGUGGAGUUAGA
ensembl:lncRNA